AUUGGUUUGAAAAUGUGAACAAAUAAGACAAGACCACAAUUGCCACAUAAAUUCAAAUCCCUACCUCAAACUCGGCCGAUUCAACUCUACAUUCGACUCACUCUUGAAGACCCCAUGGAUUUGGCAAUUUCUCUCAGCAUAAACUUCUUUAUCUUCCCAGUUGAAGUCUUAGGCAAUUCAUCUUUAAACACAAUAGUUUUUGGCACCAUAUAAUGCGGCAUUUUUUC
rnacentral:misc_RNA from 1 species